GGAUUAGAUACCCUGGUAGUCCACGCCGUAAACGAUGAAAACUUGUCGUUAGACAUGUAAAUAUGUUUAGUGGCGUAGCUAACGCGUUAAGUUUUCCGCCUGGGGAGUACGAUCGCAAGGUUAAAACUCAAAGGAAUUGACGGGGGCCCGCACAAGCGGUGGAGCAUGUGGUUUAAUUCGAUGCUACACGAAAAACCUUACCUACUUUUGAUCUCCAUAACCAAACAGAGAUGUUUGGGUGCCUUUAGGAAUUGGAUGACAGGUGCUGCAUGGCUGUCGUCAGCUCGUGUCG
rnacentral:rRNA from 1 species